rnacentral:rRNA from 1 species
UUUUUUAAGUCUGGAGUGAAAGGCGACGGCUCAACCGUCGACGCGCUUCGGAAACUGGGGGACUUGAGGGCAGGAGAGGCGAGCGGAAUUCCCGGUGUAGCGGUGAAAUGCGUAGAGAUCGGGAAGAACACCAGUGGCGAAGGCGGCUCGCUGGACUGGCCCUGACGCUGACGCGCGAAAGCGUGGGGAGCGAACGGGAUUAGAUACCCCGGUAGUCCACGCCGUAAACGAUGGGCACUAGGUGUGGGAGGUAUCGACCCCUCCCGUGCCGGAGUUAACACACUAAGUGCCCCGCCUGGGGAGUACGGCCGCAAGGUUGAAACUCAAAGGAAUUGACGGGGGCCCGCACAAGCAGUGGAGCAUGUGGUUUAAUUCGACGCAACGCGAAGAACCUUACCCGGGCUUGACAUCCCCGGAACACCCGAGAGAUCGGGUGGCUCUACGGAGCCGGGAGACAGGUGCUGCAUGGUUGUCGUCAGCUCGUGUCGUGGGAUGUUGGGUUAAGUCCCGCAACGAGCGCAACCCUUGUCCCGUGUUACCAGCGUAAAGGCGGGGACUCACGGGAGACUGCCGGUGACAAACCGGAGGAAGGUGGGGAUGACGUCAAAUCAUCAUGGCCCUUAUGUCCGGGGCUACACACGUGCUACAAUGGCCGGCACAGCGGGAUGCGAAGGGGCGACCCGGAGCGAAUCCCUGAAAGCCGGUCCCAGUUCGGAUCGCAGGCUGAAACCCGCCUGCGUGAA